CCUACGGGCUGCAGCAGUGAGGAAUAUUGGUCAAUGGUCGGGAGACUGAACCAGCCAAGCCGCGUGAGGGAGGAAGGUACAGAGUAUCGUAAACCUCUUUUGUCAGGGAACAAAGGCGGGGACGUGUCCCCGGAUGAGUGUACCUGAAGAAAAAGCAUCGGCUAACUCCGUGCCAGCAGCCGCGGUAAUACGGAGGAUGCGAGCGUUAUCCGGAUUUAUGGGGUUAAAAGGGUGCGCAGGCGGUCUGUUAAGUCAGCGGUCAAAGCCCGGGGCUCAACCCCGGCCCGCCGUUGAAACUGGCAGUCUCGAGUUGGAGAGAAGUAUGCGGAAUGCGCGGUGUAGCGGUGAAAUGCAUAGAUAUCGCGCAGAACUCCGAUUGCGAAGGCAGCAUGCCGGCUCCACACUGACGCUGAGGCACGAAAGCGUGGGUAUCGAACAGGAUUAGAUACCCUAGUAGUC
rnacentral:rRNA from 1 species